AGGCGCUCUGGCUGGGCGGGGCGCGGGCGCCUUGGUUUCGUCCCGUGGCUUGGCAGUUGGCAGCGGCUCGGCGCGCACCCAACGGCCCACCGCGGGUUUCCGGGACGGCUAGCAGCGCGGUUCCCGGUCCCGCCCCGAACCCCCUUACCUGGCGCAGAGGCCGCUCAGUGCGGUGCGGUCAGGCCUCGUGGGCUGGGACCUAAGCCGUUGACCCUAAGGCGAUCGGGGCUCCCCGCGCGGCCCCCCCGGGGGACGGGAUUAACGCCUAAGCCCCAAGCCGGGUCGGCGGGAGGAGGGCGGCCCUCUGGGCGAGCGCGGGGCCGGGGCUGGCGGUGCGGAGCGCACGGGACUCGCCCGCUUCUCAGGGUCUGAAGGAAAUGUGCACUUUUAAUGUGUUAUUUCCUAACACAAAUGUUUGAGCAGACCAAAUAAACUCUGCAUGCUGAAUGUGGCCCCGAGGUCCCCCGUUGGUGACACGGCUUUCGGCAUUUUCUCGGCCUGAGUGUGAGAGUGAGAGGAGCCCGCGUGGCGGUCACCGGCUGGAGCGGGAGCGUGGAGUUAUCACGGCCGCCUCUGCCCGGAGCCCGCCCCUGCCCCGCGGCUGUGCCCCUUCACCCGCACGCCGACUGUUCCAAAGUCCACGUCCAGCCUGCAGCCGGGUUUUCUAUGGUGCCUGAGCUAAGAAUGCUUUUCUCGUUUUUAAGAGGUUGGGGGAGAAUUAAAACAGUAUUUUAGCAUAUAUGAAAAGUAUAUGACAUUCAAAUAUCGGCCGGGCACGGUGGCUCACGCCUGUAAUCCCUGCACUUUGGGAGGCCGAGGCGGGUGGAUCACCUGAGAUCAGGAGUUCGAGACCAGCCUGGCCAACAUGGAGAAACCCCGUCUCUACUGAAAAAAAAUAAAAAAUUAGCCAGACGUGGUGGUGGGCUCCUGUAAUCCCAGAUACUCGGGAGACUGAGGCAGAAGAAUCGCUUGAACCCGGGAGGCAGAGGUUGCAGUGAGCCGAGAUCGCGCCACUGCACUCCAGUCUGGGUGACAGAGCAAGACUCCGUCUCCAAAAAAAAAUUAAAUUAAAAUGUCGGUUUCCUAAGGAGUUCAACUGGAACACCACCAUGCUUGUUCAUGUAGUUAAAAGUCUGCAAGUGCUUGGUACAUACACAGAUGGUAUUUAUUUGCUGUUUGUCUUAAAUUGCAUUCUUAUGCAUCAUAGAGACUGCGAUAAGGAGAAGAAAAAAUAUUUUCUACAGGACCAUCCAAACAUCUAUUAUGAGAAAUACCACUGCGAUGAGUCUUCACAUACAAGUGUCAGGUGCACCAUUUGACGGUCCCACCAGCAGCAUGAGAGAGUUCCAGUGUCUCCACAUCCUCGUCAACACUCACUACCUGACUUUUUGGGUCUAGCUCUCCAGGCCAGGAAGCCGAACCAAAUCCACCUCCCUCAGGUGUGCCCGCGGGACCUGUGUGUGUGCAAGUUUCUAUCUUCCAGAAGGUUCCAGUGUCUGCCAUGGCUCUUGGCCUGCCAGGAAGUAUCCUUCUUACUACUUGUGAGGCUGAGGCUUUGUGUGCCAGAGUACAGGUGCCCGGCCAGUAUGGGUCUGAGGGUUGUGUGGGCAUUGGUUCAGCACACAAGCCACAACCCUUGUUCCUUAAAGGUGGGCGUGUUGUGGAAGCACAGGAAAGUUAUUCUCAAAUAUGACACCCAUGUAAGGCCUGGGCUCCACUAUUAAUUUGUCUGAUUAUAUCCUGGUGACAAGGAGGACAAAUUUCUACUGCAACAAUGCAAAUUACUACGUUUUUAUUAAAAGUAAAUGUCAGUAAAACUAUUUUUCCUGAAUUCUGAAGUGAGAAAAACACCAUUUAAAGAACGUUUUAAUGUUUGUGAAAGGAUAGUCUCCUAAAGUAGAUUGUUGCAGAUACCGGGUAAAAAUAAAAAUUAAAUAAAUUAAAGGUGAGAUAGAUCAAAGAAGAAGGGUUUUGUCUUAUUCCUGCCAGAAACAGAAUAUCAGAAACAACAUGAGCAUCCUCCUCCUUGCCUUUUCUUGGGCUGUGCUUUCAGCCUGCAGAUAUAACCAUUCUGGAGAGCAGUGAUGCCCCCAGAACCGCAUUUUUGGCUGGUGCAAAAUGGGGGGCAGUGGUUGUGUCUGGGGCCAAGUUUCUGUCCUGUAUAGCCUAGAGAUGGUUAUGUAGCGGGGGACUGAGCUACUAAGUGAAGGCAUAGAUAGUUAUGUAGAAACAGAGGAGGGUAGAAUCAACUCCAUGCUAGAUUGUAACUGGAGGUACAGGUAUCAGUAUGAACUCAAGGUUUGCUAAGAGGUAUCAGAAAAGAUAUGGGUGUGUGUGUGUGUGUGUGUGUGUGUGUGUGUGUGUGUGUGUGUGUGUUUGUACAUACUUAUUUCCUAGCUCUGUCUGCUGAGUGUAAAUGGAAUCAUAUUCUGUAAUCUUUUGAGAUUUCUUUCUUCCAUUUAAAAUUAUGUGUUUGAGAUUUGGCCGUGUUGGUGGUGGAAUUCAUUCAUUUCUGUUGCUGUGUGCUAUUCCAUUGCGUGGAUACACCUCACUUUGUCCAUUUUACCGUCCUUUGAUAUUUAAGAUUUCUCCCAGUAUUUGCUAUUAAAAACAGCGUUAAAAUAAAAAAAAAAAAACACCAAAAACAGUGUUGCUCUGAACAUUCAUGCACAUGCUUCCUGAUGAACAAGUUUCUUUUUUUCUUUUCUUUUUUUUUUUUUUUUUUUAGAUGGAGUCUUGCUCUGUUGCCCAGGCUGGAGUGCAGUGGCGCAAUCUCUGCUCACUGCAAACUCUGCCUCCUGGGUUCACACCAUUCUCCUGCCUCAGCCUCCUGGCUAAUUUUUUGUAUUUUUAGUAGAGAUGGGGUUUCACCGUGUUAGCCAGGAUGGUCUCAAUCUCCUGACCUCAUGAUCUGCCUGCCUCAGCCUCCCAAACUGCUGGGAUUACAGGCGUGAGCCACGGCGCCCGGCCCUGAUGAACAGGUUUCUUAGGCACACACCCAGGCACGGAAUGCACCUAGGAAUACAAAUUGACUUAACCCUACAGCCGGGAAUGGGUAUGCACACUGGGGGAGCUUGCAUCUUCUCAAAGUGGCCACAACAACUUCUCCCAUACAGCAUGCUUCUCUUAAAAUGUGAUGAUAACACAUGUCCCAAGAGGUGGGGUCUGUAUUCUCCCUAACUCUUGAAUCUGGACAGGCUUGUCCCUAUGGCAGAAGUGAUGCGUGUGACUUCAGAAGCUAGGAUGUGAAAAGUGAUACAGGUCCCACCUGCUUCUCUUGAGACCCUUGCUCCUGCAGCAUGGCUACUAUUCCAUGAGGAUGUUCCCAAGGCCCUCAGCCCAGAGCCUGGAUCAAGGUCCCAGCCACGUGAGUGCACCAUCUUGGAAGUGGCUCCUCCAGCCCCUAGUGGAGGUGCCCCAGAUAAGGAUGCAGGAAGUAGUCUAGUUGUACCUGCUGAAUCCUGCCCAAAUAGCAGAUGUGUGAACAAAAGGAAUGACUGCUGUUUUGAGCUACAAAGUUUUGGGGGUGGUUUGUUUUGCAGCAAGAGGUAACUGAUAAACAUGUCCACUUUCACUGGGUAACGCCUUAUGACCAAGAUAUUUACCAAAUAAUUGUCCCACUCGACAUUCUGGCCAGCAGGGUAUUGCUCUGCCAUCUUGCCAUCGCUGAGUAUUGCCACAUAUGAACGCUGGUGCCUAUUUGGUGUGUAUUUUGUUUGCAUUUCCAAAUUUACUAGUAAGAUGAUUGGCCUUUCCAUGUUCUCUGCAAGAAGCCUGAUUAUGACAUGGGUUUCUUUGUUGAUUUGGGUUUUGUGCAUCAUUUUGUUGGCUUGUUUGUCUCUUUCUAAUGGAUCUGAAGGGGUUCUCUAUAUAUUCUAAAUACUAAUCAUCUGCAAGGUGUACAUAUCUUUUAGUUUUUCAUUCUUCAGUCUCUUUAUGGUGCCUUUUGAGGAACAAACAUAUGAUAAUUUCCAUCCUUUCAUUUACGAAAUGGAGUCUUGCUCUGUCACUCAGGCUGGAGUGCAGUGGGGCAAUCUUGCCUCACUGCAACCUCAGCCUCCUGGGUUCAAGUGAUUCUCCUGCCUCAGCCUCCUGAGUAGCUGGGAUUACAGGCACGUGCCCCCAUGCCUGGCUAAUUUUUCUAUUUUUAGUAGAGAUGGGGUUUCACUAUGUUGGUCAGGUCUUGAACUCCUGACCUCAG
rnacentral:lncRNA from 10 species